CCUAGUUAAUUCUACUAGUAGUUAUAUACUUAUCUCAAAGAUUAAGCUAUACAUAUCUAAGUAUAAGUAACUAUACUAUAAAACUACUAUAUACUACUUAUACUAUANAAUUCUAGAGCUAAUAUAUACGAAAAACCUCGACUUCGGAAGGGAUAUAUUUAUUAGAUAAAAAACUAAUACCCUCCGGGGCUUCCUAGUAAUUUAUAAUAACUUAACGAAUCGUAUAGCCUUACGCCGGCGAUAGUUUAUUCAAAUUUCUACCCUAUAAACUUUCGAUUGUAGAGUAGUAGUCUAUAAUAGUUUCAACGGGUAACGGGGAAUUAGGGUUCGACUCCGGAGAGGGAGCCUAAGAAAUAGCUACUAUAUCUAAGAAAGGUAGUAGGCGCGCAAAUUACCCAGUCCCGAUACGGGGAGGUAGUAAUAAUAAAUACUAAUAUAGGGCUCUUUUAGGUCUUAUAAUUAGAAUAAGUACAAUUUAAAUCCCUUAACGAGGAAUAACUAGAGGGUAAGUCUAGUACUAGUAGCCGCGGUAAUUCCAGCUCUAGAAGCGUAUAUUAAAGUUAUUAUAGUUAAAAAGCUCGUAGUUGAAUUUUAGGCCUAGCUAGCCGGUCCGCCUUACUACGUAUACUAGUCCGGCCGAGCCUUUUCUCCUAGGGAUCCGCAUGCCCUUUACUAGGUAUAUUGGGGAACUAGGACUUUUACUUUGAAAAAAUUAGAGUAUUCAAAGUAGGCCUUUACUCGAAUAUAUUAGUAUAGAAUAAUAGAAUAGGACGGCUUUCCUAUUUUAUUAGUUUCUAGGGAAGCCGUAAUAAUUAAUAGGGAUAGUCGGGGGUAUUAGUAUUCAAUUAUUAGAGGUGAAAUUCUUGGAUUUAUUAAAGACUAACUACUACGAAAGUAUUUGCCAAGGAUAUUUUCAUUAAUUAGUAAACGAAAGUUAGGGGAUCGAAGACGAUUAGAUACUAUUAUAGUCUUAACUAUAAACUAUACCGACUAGGGAUCGGGCGAUAUUACUAUCUUAACUCGCUCGGUACCUUACGAGAAAUUAAAGUUUUUAGGUUCUAGGGGGAGUAUAGUCGCAAGGCUAAAACUUAAAGAAAUUAACGGAAGAGUACUACUAGGAGUUAACUUACUUACCGCGAGCUCUACGCCUAAUAGCACGACCUAAUAGGUAGUAGUAUCCCUUGAAACGAUGCUAGUCCCCCUUCUAGGAGGGGGGUAAUACGCUUAAACUACGGGGACCUCUAAGCCUUACCGUCCCAAGCCUACGCCUAACCGUACGGGUAGCCGAGCCCAAUAGCUCGGGUAGGGGAAAAACCGGGAGAGUAGACGAUCCGUAUCCAAGCCCCUAGAUACUACUAGGGGAAGGUUUAGAGACUAGAUAAGCGUAGGUUGGCGCAGCGCCGAUUUAAGAUAUAGUCCGUAGUUCGGAGGGUAAUCUCCGUUCUAAUCCCUAAAUAACGGGGAAACUUACUAGGUCUAGAUAUAAGUAGGAUUGAUAGAUUGAGAGCUCUUUCUUAAUUUUAUAGUUAGUAGUAUAUAGCCGUUCUUAGUUAGUAGAGUAAUUUAUCUACUUAAUUAUAAUAACGAACGAGACCUUAAUCUACUAAAUAGCCCGGCUCGCUUUAGCGGGUCGCUAGCUUCUUAGAGGGACUAUCGGCUUAAGCCGAUAGAAGUUUAAGGUAAUAAUAGGUUAACCUUUAGUUAUUAUAACUUAUAGGCCUAUAAAAGGGGGGGCG
rnacentral:rRNA from 1 species